AGAGUUUGAUCAUGGCUCAGGAUGAACGCUAGCGGCAGGCUUAAUACAUGCAAGUCGAGGGGCAGCAUAGGGUAGCAAUACCUGGGUGGCGACCGGCAAACGGGUGCGGAACACGUACAGAACCUUCCUUCGAGCGGGGAAUAGCCCAGAGAAAUUUGGAUUAAUACCCCAUAGUAUAUUGUGGUGGCAUCACUAUGAUAUUAAAGAUUUAUCACUUGAAGAUGGCUGUGCGUCUGAUUAGGUAGUUGGUGGGGUAACGGCCCACCAAGCCAGCGAUCAGUAACUGGUGUGAGAGCACGACCAGUCACACGGGCACUGAGACACGGGCCCGACUCCUACGGGAGGCAGCAGUAAGGAAUAUUGGUCAAUGGACGCAAGUCUGAACCAGCCAUGCCGCGUGGAGGAUGAAGGUCCUCUGGAUUGUAAACUUCUUUUAUCUGGGACGAAAAAGGGCCUUUCUAGGUCAACUGACGGUACCAGAUGAAUAAGCACCGGCUAACUCCGUGCCAGCAGCCGCGGUAAUACGGAGGGUGCAAGCGUUAUCCGGAUUCACUGGGUUUAAAGGGUGCGUAGGCGGGCAUGUAAGUCCGUGGUGAAAUCUCCGAGCUUAACUCGGAAACUGCCAUGGAUACUAUGUGUCUUGAAUGUUGUGGAGGUGAGCGGAAUAUGUCAUGUAGCGGUGAAAUGCUUAGAUAUGACAUAGAACACCAAUUGCGAAGGCAGCUCACUACACAAAUAUUGACGCUGAGGCACGAAAGCGUGGGGAUCAAACAGGAUUAGAUACCCUGGUAGUCCACGCCCUAAACGAUGAUUACUCGACAUACGUGAUACACAAUGUGUGUCUGAGCGAAAGCAUUAAGUAAUCCACCUGGGAAGUA
rnacentral:rRNA from 1 species